AUUGAACGCUGGCGGAAUGCUUUACACAUGCAAGUCGAACGGCAGCACGGACUUCGGUCUGGUGGCGAGUGGCGAACGGGUGAGUAAUGUAUCGGAACGUGCCCAGUCGUGGGGGAUAACGUAGUGAAAAUUACGCUAAUACCGCAUACGAUCUAUGGAUGAAAGCGGGGGAUCGCAAGACCUCGCGCGAUUGGAGCGGCCGAUAUCAGAUUAGGUAGUUGGUGGGGUAAAGGCCCACCAAGCCAACGAUCUGUAGCUGGUCUGAGAGGACGACCAGCCACACGUGAACUGAGACACGGGCCAGACUACUACGGGAGGCAGCAGUGGGGAAUUUUGGACAAUGGGCGAAAGCCUGAUCCAGCCAUUCCGCGUGCAGGAUGAAGGCCCUCGGGUUGUAAACUGCUUUUGUACAGAACGAAAAGGUUUCUACUAAUACUAGGAGCUCAUGACGGUACUGUAAGAAUAAGCACCGGCUAACUACGUGCCAGCCGCCGCCGUAA
rnacentral:rRNA from 1 species